GUCUAUGGCCAUACCACCCUGAACGCGCCCAAUCUCAUCUGAUCUCGGAAGCUAAGCAGGGUUGGGCCUGGUUAGUACUUGGAUGGGAGAAUAUUUGAAAUAGGCAAGAUUUGUAUAGAAC
rnacentral:rRNA from 1 species